rnacentral:rRNA from 1 species
GACGAACGCUGGCGGCGUGCUUAACACAUGCAAGUCGAACGGAAAGGCCCUGCUUGCAGGGUACUCGAGUGGCGAACGGGUGAGUAACACGUGGGUGAUCUGCCCUGCACUUCGGGAUAAGCCUGGGAAACUGGGUCUAAUACCGGAUAGGAGCCAUUUUUAGUGUGAUGGUUGGAAAGUUUUUUCGGUGUAGGAUGAGCUCGCGGCCUAUCAGCUUGUUGGUGGGGUAAUGGCCUACCAAGGCGGCGACGGGUAGCCGGCCUGAGAGGGUGGACGGCCACCUUGGGGCUGGGAUACGGCCCAGACUCCUACGGGGAGCAGCAGUGGGGAAUAUUGCACAAUGGGCGCAAGCCUGAUGCAGCGACGCCGCGUGGGGGAUGACGGCCUUCGGGUUGGAAACUCCUUUCGCUAGGGACGAAGCUUUUUGUGACGGUACCUAGAUAAGAAGCACCGGCUAACUACGUG